rnacentral:rRNA from 1 species
GAGUUUGAUCCUGGCUCAGAUUGAACGCUGGCGGCAUGCCUUACACAUGCAAGUCGAACGGUAACAGGUCUUCGGAUGCUGACGAGUGGCGAACGGGUGAGUAAUACAUCGGAACGUGCCCAGACGUGGGGGAUAACGAGGCGAAAGCUUUGCUAAUACCGCAUACGAUCUAAGGAUGAAAGCAGGGGACCGCAAGGCCUUGCGCGUUUGGAGCGGCCGAUGGCAGAUUAGGUAGUUGGUGGGGAUAAAAGACUUACCAAGCCGACGAUCUGUAGCUGGU